AAAGGGAGACCUGAUUCAGGUAAAAGACGAAAAAAAAGUAGUCGCUACCAAGAAUCAAUCCCAAAAGGUCGGAGCGAGGCGAAAUUGGCUUUCAAACUAGGUUCUGGGUUCAAACAAGACCUGAAUCAGGAACAAGGGCUAUUAGCUCAGGUGGUUAGAGCGCACCCCUGAUAAGGGUGAGGUCCCUGGUUCGAGUCCAGGAUGGCCCACCUGCACAGGUGGCAAAAACAAGAGAAGCGAGGAAUCAGCACCUUAUCUUACUUAUAUAGUAAGAGAGAAUGCUGGCUCUGAGUAAAGAGUCCAGAGGAACCUUGAAAACUGCAUAGAGCUAGGUGAAAAAGCCAAAAAAGAAGACCGCAAG
rnacentral:tRNA from 1 species